ensembl:ncRNA Y54G9A.15 ncRNA
UGUACUUUGUCCUCUUUCGACUACUCACGUUUAGUCGCAAAAUACACCCACC